CACCCAAAUUUUGCAAUGACAUAAAUGAAUAAGUUUGUUUCCUAUUUAUAUUAUCAAAGAAGGAAUGUUCAGGCUCACAGUCAAUAUUGUAAAUUGUAAAAUAUAGGAUUCCAAAGAUAAAUAUAUUCAGUUUUGAGAUUCUGGAAUUAGAAUUUCCAGACUUGAGGUUGAAGAAAGGAAAGGAAAGGCUGCGCUGUCGAUGGGCACGUGCCACGUAACGUCACAGCGUUGCCUCUCAAAUUUGCUAAAAUCUAGCACGGCCACCCGCCAUAACAGCGCCUUUGAGUUUCAAAACCGUUUGCUUCAGCUUCCCAGUCAAAUGAACCCACUUCGUUCUCGGAGUCGGUGGUCUCAAAAAUGGCUGAAGAAAAAAGCAAGAGCCAGCUACGAUCAUCUGCUGCUGCUGCCUCAUCAGAAAAAUCUAAAACCGCUAAAUCUAGAUGGUUUUCGCCCUCUGUUCUCCGUUGGAUCCCCACUUCCACCAAUCAUAUCAUCGCCGCCGAAAAACGUCUUCUCUCUCUAGUCAAGACUCCAUAUUUUCAAGAGAAAGUUAAUAUAGGUUCAGGUCCACCCGGGUCGAAAAUCAGGUGGUUCCGUUCUUCCAGCAAUAAGCCAAGGUUCAUCAACACGGUUACUUUUGACAGCAAGGAAGGCUUCCCCACUCUUGUAAUGAUUCAUGGAUAUGGAGCAUCUCAAGGCUUCUUCUUUCGCAAUUUUGAUGCUCUAGCUAGUCGAUUCAGGGUUAUAGCAGUUGAUCAACUGGGUUGGGGUGGAUCAAGCAGACCUGAUUUUACAUGCAAAAGCACAGAAGAAACUGAGGCAUGGUUUAUUGAUUCCUUUGAGGAAUGGCGCAAAGCCAAAAACCUUAGCAACUUCAUAUUACUUGGGCAUUCAUUUGGAGGGUAUGUUGCUGCUAAAUAUGCUCUCAAGCAUUCAGAGCACAUUCAGCACUUGAUUUUAGUUGGACCUGCUGGAUUUUCAUCAGAAUCAGAUGCUGAGGCUGAGUGGCUUACCAGGUUCAGGGCAACAUGGAAAGGAGCAAUUUUAUACAAUUUGUGGGAGAGUAAUUUUACUCCUCAGAAGAUUGUCAGAGGUUUUGGUCCUUGGGGUCCAGAUCUUGUACGCAGGUAUACUAGUAAUAGAUUUGGUGGAUACUCAUUGGAGAGCAUAUUGAAUGAAGAGGAAUCCAGAUUACUAACAGAUUAUGUAUACCAUACUUUUGCGGCCAAAGCAAGUGGAGAGCUGUGCUUGAAGUACAUAUUCUCUUUUGGUGCGUUUGCUCGGAUGCCUUUUCUACGCAGGGUCUACUGGACUGUUAUUGGCAAAAGAAUAUGUUGCGUACCUACACAGAUUACUCAAGAACAUCCCAACUUCCACAAACAAUCCAACAACAGAUUCAAAUUGCAUCAGAUUGGAAAGUGCCAACCACUUUCAUAUAUGGUGUCGACGAUUGGAUGAACUAUCAAGGUGCACAAGAAGCCCACAAGCAGAUGAAAGUUCCUUGUGAGAUCAUUAGGGUUCCCCAGGCAGGGCAUUUUGUGUUCAUAGAUAGCCCGAGUGAUUUCUAUGCAGCCAUGCUCUAUGCUUGCCGCAGGUUUCUUUCACCCAACCCUGAUAAUGAAUCUUUGCCUGAAGGUCUUUCAUUGGCCUAGAAAAUGACAUGUAACUAUCCCUGUUAUUUUGCACAAGAUAGUUACAUGAAUUAAUAGACAGAUAAACAAAUUCUUUUUGUCGAUAAUACAUUCUUUGUGCCCAUGUAGUCUCCAGUCUUGUAAAUUAAACACUGAAUGAGUGAUUUGUAAUGUUAAUGUGUAAAUUCUUUUA